GAGGAGCUCCUGUCCCCUGGGGAGUGAGAAGUCACCCACUCAUGGCUGAUGCUGGAGAUCAUGGUCUGAGCCUUGACUCUGGUUUCCUUCUGGUGGCCAGGUGAAGGUGCCAUGGGGGCCCUGGCCUGUCUGGGAGGACCCUCUGUGCUGAGCUCAAGUUCAGCUGAAAGUGCCCUCACCCUGCUAUGACCCAGAGGGGCCCUGGGAGAGUGACUGCAGGGCCGAGAACUCACCUGGGCACCUCCCAGUUCUGACUUGGGACUACAAGGCCACCCUGUGCACAUGACACCACCUCUCUGUGCCUCUGUUUGGAGAAAGACAGGAAAUACAGAAAACGCCAUCACUGGUAUCCUCUAUUUCAAAUGGAAGAAAAACCGACACAACUGGGAUUCAAAACACCCAACACCAGGAACUCCAGGGAUCAAGAAAAGCAGAGGCUGAGAUUCAAGAAUAAGAGCACUCACAGGCGAUAGUGCCCGGUGUUCACAAAGGUCCCUGCGCAGGCUGGUUGCCCAGCGUCCUGGAAGAGCUCAUGCGUCUGUUAAUGGAUCGUGACAGCGGUGGUCAGUCUGUCCUGCAGUCUCCGCAGCGGCUCAGCAGCCUGGUGUAGACAGGGGGGAGCACCGCUCCCUCAUCCAGAGCAAUCAGCCAUGACGGCCUCUCAUGCCAACGCCCUCAGCCUGCCUGAGCUACCCGAGCGGGGCCAUCGGAGUGGCUCCCACGUCACCCUGGGGACGAGGACAAGGGCACCAGCACCCUCCCCCAGGACCUCUCCACUCAGCACAGACAAGGGCCAAGGGCCAAAUCCACAGCUGCCGAAGGAGGACCCGGCCCCACAGGCAUGUCAGACACGGCUGCACCUGGGUGUGGGGACUAAGGACACCUUGCGCCCCAGGCCAGGUCGGCAGGCCACUUGCUCCAUGGGCCCAUUUACCCUCAUGGAACUCCUGAUUUCGCCCAUUCCAGGAUGCCGUGGCUACACAGGCUGCCUCCAGCCCUCCUGGGCUCGGCCAUGCACUUGAGAUGCCAGGGGUACCGUCACUUGCGUCUUCUCCCGGAGGCGCCCAAAGUCAUGGAAACCAAACACUGCUUCUGUUCUCCUGUGGUUGUCUUCUUACUCCUUGUAAUCCUUGUGGGUUUGAAGAAUGCAAUUUAAUCCAAAAGUUAAGUAAUUGCAAACCUGA